AACAGUGACUAAUACCGGAUAAAACCUAAGUGCACAUGCACUAAGGUUAAAAGCUGCGUUUGCAGCGCUUUAAGAUGGAUUCGCGGUGCAUUAGUUAGUUGGUGAGGUAAAGGCUCACCAAGACGAUGAUGCAUAGCCGAGUUGAGAGACUGACCGGCCACAUUGGGACUGAGACACGGCCCAAACUCCUACGGGAGGCUGCAGUAGGGAAUCUUCCACAAUGGGCGCAAGCCUGAUGGAGCAACGCCGCGUGUGUGAUGAAGGCUUUCGGGUCGUAAAGCACUGUUGUAUGGGAAGAACGGGUUUAAGAGGAAAUGCUUAGACAGUGACGGUACCAUACCAGAAAGGGACGGCUAAAUACGUGCCAGCAGCCGCGGUAAUACGUAUGUCCCGAGCGUUAUCCGGAUUUAUUGGGCGUAAAGCGAGCGCAGACGGUUGCUUAAGUCUGAAGUGAAAGCCCACAGCUCAACUGUGGAAUGGCUUUGGAAACUGGGCAACUUGAGUGCAGUAGAGGUAAGUGGAACUCCAUGUGUAGCGGUGGAAUGCGUAGAUAUAUGGAAGAACACCAGUGGCGAAGGCGGCUUACUGGACUGCAACUGACGUUGAGGCUCGAAAGUGUGGGUAGCAAACAGGAUUAGAUACCCUGGUAGUCCACACCGUAAACGAUGGAUACUAGUUGUUAGAGGGUUUCCGCCCUUUAGUGACGAAGCAAACGCAUUAAGUAUCCCGCCUGGGGAGUACGACCGCAAGGUUGAAACUCAAAGGAAUUGACGGGGACCCGCACAAGCGGUGGAGCAUGUGGUUUAAUUCGAAGCAACGCGAAGAACCUUACCAGGUCUUGACAUCCUUUGAAGGUACUAGAGAUAGUACUGUCUUCUUCGGAAGCAAAGUGACAGGUGGUGCAUGGCCGUCGUCAGCUCGUGUCGUGAGAUGUUGGGUUAAGUCCCGCAACGAGCGCAACCCUUAUGUUUAGUUGCCAGCAUUCAGUUGGGCACUCUAGACAGACUGCCGGUGACAAACCGGAGGAAGGCGGGGACGACGUCAGGUCAUCAUGCCCCUUAUGACCUGGGCUACACACGUGCUACAAUGGCGUAUACAACGAGCAGCAAACCUGUGAAGGUAAGCGAAUCUCUUAAAGUACGUCUCAGUUCGGAUUGUAGUCUGCAACUCGACUACAUGAAGUCGGAAUC
rnacentral:rRNA from 1 species